GUGCAUAUGCGCGCGCAUACGGAACUUUCAAAAGAGGAGGGGGGACGGCGGCGCGCGUGCGCGCGCGUGCCCGCUCCCCUUCUCUCCCCCUCUUCCCCCCCCCGCUCAUAUAUUUCACUUUUUACCUCAGAAAAGGCCUUCGCCUCAACUUUUAGGCCUAGUUUUCGCCCCCCCCUCACGGAACCGGGUUCGAAUUCCCCUCAGGCGGGACUUUCCCCCCUCAGAAUGCCUGUAAAUUUCGAAAACAAACCUGGUUUGCAGUGGAGGUUGAACAAUUUCGAUGGCAACUAUAGCUAUUAUCAACCGCGGAGGGAGAACUUAAGGCGCAGAAACCGGAAGAAAUGACUACAUGGCUCCCGUCUCCAGUUCACCAUCUGUUUGGCAGCGACAGCACCGCAUGCUUAUUCUGUUACACGGCUGGAUUGGGUUUCGGCCGGGAGGGAUGUAAUUUCAAUUCCAGGUUACCUUUCUCUGCCCGUGGCAAGAUGAAAUCGCCCUCCCCUCCACCCCCCAUUUAGCCGAGAGACUUGUGAACUUGCGGGCCCGCCUGGGCACCAAACUCCAACGCUUCUGCAAGAAGCAGAAAUCUGGGUUCUGCGACCGAAAGGAAUCCUGGAAAACCGAGUGUGUUUCUCACUCGGAUCUCGUUGCGAACAUCAGGGGUUGUAGCUGUGAUAGGAAUUUUGAGGUCUUAGAUAUAUGGUAAUGUUCAUAAGUGUACCAACCAAGCACGUACAUAGAUCA